CCUUCUUUCAGAUAUAAACUGAAAGCAACAGCGCUACUUUGGAACCUUGAUCAUUUCUGUAUUUUGUUGUUUUCCCACUUUAUCAUUUUUAAUUAAAAUUUUUUUUUUUUUAUUGUUUGCUAUCUUUCUUUUUCAGUAUUAAAAGUUACCUUCCUCUGUGUGCCCUAUCGACCCUGUGAGCGAGGCAAUCAGGUGACAAAGGGGGAGCUUGGGAGGACUGAGGAUGCUGAAAUUAAGAGAAGGGACAUGUGUGACCCUUACCAGGCUCAAGAACGUGAACAGUGGGAGUUGGCCUGUACACACGAUAAUCGAAGCUACACAACAGAUCCUGUGUCAGACUCCAGGAGAGACGGUGAAGAAAACAGCUGGUUCAUAUGUCAAACAGACACGGGAGUGACAAAAUUACAUAGCAACAUCUCAUCUUCAGAUCCAAAUGUACAUGUGGAAGUGACUGUGGAGCUUCAACUUGGCAAUACAGAGACCCUGAAUCUCACCUUGUAUGACCACAGUAAGACCACCUCCUUACACUUUUACCCUCCUGAGGAGGAGGAGGAAGAGGAGCUGAAGAAGGGACAGGAUGAGGCAUUUUACUGCUGUUUGCCUAUCCUGACAGAAUCAGAGUCAGACAGUCAGAGCCGCUGUCUGCUUCGGUUUGCCAAUAUAACAGUUCUGACUGCAACAGUAAAAGAAAAGCUGCCAUGGAAACAGAAACAUAAAGAUGAGUGGUGGUGUAUAUUUAGGGUGAUGUGGUUGGCUCUCGUCUGUUUAGUGCUCCUGACAAUAGUUACAUCUGUAUUUGGACAAAUCUACCGGAGGAAAUGCUCAUACAAAAAGCCCACGGUGCAUCCUGUUGGUUACAUCUAUACUGUAGAUGGAGAGAAGAACACUGGAGUAACGCCUAAAGUCCUUCACACAUAUGGGCCCCGGACCUGGACAGGACUAUCCCCCAUUGAAGAAAGAGAUAUCCAAGAGGACAUAGAAACUCUGCUGCAUGGAAAUGUCGACAACUGCUAUAAUGCCAUCCAUCCAUCUUCCUCCUCACAGAGGAACAAGCCUGGUGACAGAGGAUGCAAAGACAGAUGAGCCAAAGGAUCACCAAAAUGGACUAACAGUGUGUUGGAGAGAAAUAAAAUGGACUGUUUCACCUAAAAGCCACCUCUGUUUUAAAAAUAAAAAAUUCUGAGACACAUAAAGAUGGUUGAAACAUUUCCUCUACAGUCAGUCUUAAGAUGAUUUAUUAGAACAAUCCUAAUACAUUAGCAAAAUGUCUAAACAUUUUUAAUUCAACAUUACGAAUAAUUUGGUAUUCUAAGGCAAAAACAGUGUUACCACAUCAGGCUCUGGCUGAAAGGAGCCAAAACACUGUGACAAAACUGACUAAUAAUGUCUUUACUUAAUAGCUUUCUUACUUCAGUGUAUCUCUACAAGAGAAGAAGUAGAUGUAAACAAGAGAAAGGGACUUCAGUUUCCACAGGUCAGAAAAACUGCUGCUUAAGUUAAAAAUGAGGUGCACUGUGUGCUGAAACUCGACGGGUGAUCAGAGGGGAAAAACAGAAAACAGUAGAUGGUUGAAACAUAGACCUCUGGGCAUCAUGAUCAUUAUAGAUGUAAAGAUCCUGGCAAACAGUAUUUAGAGACUUUAUUUGGGAGGUCAAGAUGACAUUCAAAGGACACAUGUUUUGGCUAAUUUCUUCCUACGGAUGGGAAAUACAUUUUCUUGCUUUCAGGCAGAGUUAGAUAAGAAAAAGCCUAAAGACUGGAAAUGGACAAAGGUAUUUCACCUUUUGCGUAAACACACUAAAUAAAACAUUUUAAUUAGUUAAAUUUAGGGGUACUGGUAGGUGUAUUUUAUUCUCCAUGUUUCCAGUCUGUGUUCUGAGCUAAACAAAAUGUACAGCCAGUUGAUAUGGCAAUAAAGUAUAUCUCAUCUUUUUAGAGUGGCAUCGAUCCUCUCAUCUAACUUUCGUCAAGAAUGUGAAUUUCCCAAUAAUGUCAAGUACUCAAAGUGCAACAGAAUGGGGGGAAAAAAACUGAAUUAGAGAUGAAUUCCCCUAAAUUACAUCUUCUCAUAUGAAUGAAGAUCAAAUUUUUCUUUCCAAUCAGACUGGAUAAGAAUGAAAUAUAAGGUACUGUUGCUUCAUAGAAAUUAAUGUCAUAACAGAACAAGGAGAAAUUGUGGUGUACAACUAAUACUGGCAUUUUUCUGUCAAACUCGAUUAAAAUAUUUUAGCAAAAGAGACAUUAAUUAGUGUUAUUCAGAAUUUUUUCUGUUAAAAUAAUGGACCAAAAGGAGUGCAAAGAACGCUUGAUAUAAAUUAAUGUAGAGUUCAACACAGUCAGUCUUUUUCUGUUUUUGGUUCAGCUGUUGGAGACGAGAAACAUCUUUAUCAGACAAAAUGAGCCUCAGGUGAGCUGGAAAUAAUCAGCUGUUUUUCUCUGCAAAGCAGCAACUAAAAUAACAUUCAGAGAUAAAUAAUGGAAUAGAAGCACAUACAAGCUGCACAUGGUUCAUUUCCGCAUGUACCUGUUAAGGAAGUUGUCUUCAAGAAUAUAUUCUGCAUAUAUAAACAACAACUUCUGUCUAUUGCAAUGGCACUUUGAUAGAUAUGACAGAUAUAAGCACUUAAUCCAGAAUAAUCUUUUCUCUUUACGUUACUGUACAACAACUGGUACAUUAAGACAAGCUGGUGAGCAGGU
rnacentral:lncRNA from 1 species